UGCCCCGGCAAUGGGCAAAGGGAUGCCUUGUUGGUGGUGUUCUUAUAUCAAUCAUGGGUAGAGCAGAUGUCAGUACUUUGUUUAUCCUAGAUUGAUGCCUGGCUUGGUGGCCAAACUGACUUAUGCGUGGGACUCAUAA